UGGGGGAUAUUGCACAAUGGGCGAAAGCCUGAUGCAGCGACGCCGCGUGGGGGAUGAAGGCUUUCGGGUUGUAAACCUCUUUCGCUAUCGAACAAGGCCCGCUUAGGGUGGGUUGAGGGUAGGUGGAGAAGAAGCGCCGGCUAACUACGUGCCAGCAGCCGCGGUAAUACGUAGGGCGCGAGCGUUGUCCGGAAUUAUUGGGCGUAAAGGGCUUGUAGGCGGCUUGUUGCGCCUGCUGUGAAAACGCGGGGCUUAACUUCGCGCGUGCAGUGGGUACGGGCAGGCUUGAGUGUGGUAGGGGUGACUGGAAUUCCAGGUGUAGCGGUGGAAUGCGCAGAUAUCUGGCGGAACACCGAUGGCGAAGGCAGGUCACUGGGCCAUUACUGACGCUGAGGAGCGAAAGCAUGGGUAGCGAACAGG
rnacentral:rRNA from 1 species